AAAACAUGACUUUGAUCUGCGUCCUCAUCUGGACUCUCCUCUGCUGCUGCUUCACAGAGUCCAGAGGACAGAUCACAGUGACUCAGCCUGGAGCAGUGAGCUCUGCUGUGGGAGGAUCUGUGAGCAUCAAGUGUAGGACCAGUCAGGAUGUUCGUGUUUGGAACAACUACCAUCUUUUAGCCUGGUACCAACAGAGAGAUGGAGGAGUUCCUAAACUGCUCAUUUACUAUGCUAGCACUCGAGAUUCAGGGAUUCCAGCUCGUUUUACAGGCAGUGGAUCAAACUCUGACUUCACUCUGACCAUCAGUGGAGUCCAGGCUGAAGAUGCAGCAGUUUAUUACUGUCAGAGUCAGCACUAUAUUAACAGUCAGUAUUUGUUCACACAGUGAAAAACAGUCGUACAA